CUCUGAGUGAGAUUAGAAGACUUUGGAGAGUCACAGAGGGACAACUGAUACAUUUUUCGGGAUCAACUUGGACACCAAAUGGAGACCAACCUUUCAGGGUAAAGGGAAUGGGGAAGGAGACCACAUAACCUCAGCAAGAGUUAAUGGAGGCUUGUAUCAGACUGGUGACCAUGGAGAUGGUGAGGAGUAGCUGGAUCCAGGAUGUAUUUUGAAGGUAACUAGGUAUCCUGUAAGAUUGGGCUCAUGAUAUGAGUGAAAUAGAAGGGUGUUUUGUUCUGAGCAAUGGGAAAGAUGGAGUUGCCAGAGCUGAGACUGGGGAGUCCAUCCCAGGACUGGGUUUGUUGGGGAAAGGAAAGGAGUUUAAUUUUCAAAAUAAGUAUGAGACAUGCAAGGAGAUAAAUCAAAUACUCAUUGUAGUACAAAUAUGAAGAAACAAUCCAGAAUGAAAGGAAAAAAGAGCUGUCAGUAUGCAGAUUAUAUUGGAAGCAAUGAGAGAUAAUGAGAUCACCCAAGGAGUGAAUGGAGACAGAGUAAGGUGGUAGUCCGAGGAGUGAGUUUUGAGAAACUCUAACAUCAAGACAUCAAUCUAAUGAGAAGAUGUCAGCUGACAGUAAGAGAUCUGUCAGUGAGGAGCCAGGAAAACCAGGACAGUGUGUGUGAUGGCUUGUAAGUCAAGUGAAGGAAGCGUUUCUAGGAGGUUGUUGCUGCUGCUGCUAAGUCGCUUUAGUCAUGUCUGACUCUGUGUGACCCCACAGAUGGCAGCCUACCAGCCUCCGCCGUCCCUGGGAUUCUCCAGGCAAGAACACUGGAGUGCACUGCCAUUUCCUUCUCCAGUUUGUAGGAGGAGGGGAUGAUAAAAUAUAUGUUGCUAAUAGGUGAUGAAGCUCAAAAUGAGGGCUGAUAACUGACUCUUUGGUAUAGCCCUGUGGAUGUCCAUGAUAACCUUGAGAAGAGCAAUUUUGAUGGAGAGGUAGAGAUGACAGCUUGAUUAGAGGUGAUGGGGGAAAAUGGGUGGUGAGCCUACUCACCAGCGGUCAGGAGUUGUACAAAUUACAGAGCUUCAAAUUCUUCAUCCCUCCCUGUCUUCUUCCCUUACUCCCCUCUUUGCUUCUUCCCUCUCCCUCCGUUUCUUUCUCCUUCCCUGCCUUCCUUCUUUCUUUCCUUGAUCUAUAAAGUCUACAAAGGGAUCUGUAUCUAUAAAGGGAUAAUAAUAUCUAUUUCAUGAACAUUUUAUGAUGUCUGGUAUGUAAAGCGUGGUAAGGUGUGGCAUGUCUUCCUAAAAAUAGUCCCUUCCUGGUCUUGUAGGAUCCUAUGUCUCGUUCCCUCAGUGUCUGGAACAAGAGCUGCACAAGUAGGUGCCCAUUAAAUGCUCACUGAUGGAGAUGAGUUAGGUCUACAGGCCUCCUUCUGGCCCAAGAGCCUGGCUAUUUCUUUGGAUCAAACAGGAAAGCUUUCUUGUUAAAGGCUGAAUUUCCUCAUGGAAGAGAUGGUGCCAUUUUCUACUUAAUUUCUCCACUUUCUGGUACUUAGAAAAUACUUAGUAAAUGCUAGACUCCCCUGGUGGUGCAGUGGAUAAAAGUCCACCUGCCAAUGCAGCAGACACUGGUUCGAUUCCUGGUCCAGGAAGAUUCUACAUGCUGUGAAGCAACUAAGCCUGUGUAUCACAAUGACGGAGCCUGCAUGCUGCAACUAUUCAAGCCCGAGUGCCUGGAGUCUGUGCUCCACAACCAAAAAAAAACAGCCGUGACAAUGAGAAGCCCACACACCACAGUGAAGAGCAGCCCCCACUCACUUCAACUAGAGAAAGUCUGUGCAAAAGCAUCAAAGACCCAGUGCAACCAAAAAUAAAUUUUAAAGAAACUGUAAUAAAAUAAUAGGAACUUGAAAAGCUUUUUAAAAAGAUUAUACUCAGUAAAUGUUAAUGGGAUAAACAUAUGACCAAAACUCUC
ensembl:lncRNA